rnacentral:rRNA from 1 species
GACGAACGCUGGCGGCGUGCUUAACACAUGCAAGUCGAACGGUAAGGCCCUUCGGGGUACACGAGUGGCGAACGGGUGAGUAACACGUGGGUGAUCUGCCCUGCACUCUGGGAUAAGCCUGGGAAACUGGGUCUAAUACCGGAUAUGAGCUCCUGUCGCAUGGCGGGGGUUGGAACGGUUUCCUGGUGCAGGAUGGGCCCGCGGCCUAUCAGCUUGUUGGGGGGGUAAUGGCCUCCCAAGGCGACGACGGGUAGCCGGCCUGAGAGGGCGAACGGCCACACUGGGACUGAGACCCGGCCCAUACUCCUACGGGAGGCAGCAGUGGGGAAUAUUGCACAAUGGGCGAAAGCCUGAUGCAGCGACGCCGCGUGAGGGAUGACGGCCUUCGGGUUGUAAACCUCUUUCAGCAGGGACGAAGCGAGAGUGACGGUACCUGCAGAAGAACCCUUGGGGGAGGAAAUGCCCUUAAGCUGACGGUACCAGGAAAGGAAGGACCGGCUAACUCCGUGCCAGCAGCCGCCGUAAAAC